UACAGAAAGGAAAAGAAAGAAAAGAAGAAAGAAGACAAAUGAAGAAAACAGCCCUUUGCUUACUUCUUUGACAAGUUCUCCUGGAUGUGGAGUACAUGGAGAAAGUUGCCUCGUUUCUUUCUGUACCAGAUAUUCUCAACAACAUUGUUAAAAACUGGCAUCUCCAUGUCCCAACUUGUGUAAAUGAUGACAUCUGUGAAAUUGCUUUGCACGCUGCAGGGGUGAAUUCAAGAUGUCCUUGUUGAGAUUAUCACUCCUAUUUGCUGAUUAGUGUGCUUUUUAAAAAUUGAUCCUGGAAAAGUACCCCCCCCCAAUGAAAAUCCACUGAUCAUGCAUUUCAUUCCCAGGCUACAUCCCAUGGAAA
rnacentral:lncRNA from 1 species